rnacentral:rRNA from 1 species
CGCCUGCCCUGUGACGAAAGUUUAACGGCCGCGGUAUUUUGACCGUGCGAAGGUAGCGCAAUCACUUGUCUUUUAAAUAGAGACCUGUAUGAAUGGCAUAACGAGGGCUAAGCUGUCUCCUUUCUCCAGUCAAUGAAAUUGAUCUGCCCGUGCAGAAGCGGGCAUGCCAACAUAAGACGAGAAGACCCUAUGGAGCUUCAGACACCAAAACAGAUUACGUCAAACCCCCACAACAAAGCGGGGCCAAACUAAGUACCCCCUGUUUUAAUGUCUUUGGUUGGGGCGACCGCGGAGCAACAAAAAUCCCCCGUGCGGAAAGGGACACAUCCCUAAAGCAAGAGCCACAGCUCUAACAAACAGAAUAUCUGACCAUAAAGAUCCGGCAGCGCCGAUCAACGGACCGAGUUACCCUAGGGAUAACAGCGCAAUCCCCUUCUAGAGCCCAUAUCGCCAAGGGGGUUUACGACCUCGAUGUUGGAUCAGGACUUCCUAAUGGUGCAGCCGCUAUUA